rnacentral:rRNA from 1 species
CGGAAGGUCCAGGCGUUAUCCGGAUUUAUUGGGUUUAAAGGGAGCGUAGGCUGGAGAUUAAGUGUGUUGUGAAAUGUAGACGCUCAACGUCUGACUUGCAGCGCAUACUGGUUUCCUUGAGUACGCACAACGUUGGCGGAAUUCGUCGUGUAGCGGUGAAAUGCUUAGAUAUGACGAAGAACUCCGAUUGCGAAGGCAGCUGACGGGAGCGCAACUGACGCUUAAGCUCGAAGGUGCGGGUAUCGAACAGGAUU